GGGGCUGUAGCUCAGCUGGGAGAGCAUCUGCUUUGCAAGCAGAGGGUCAGCGGUUCGAUCCCGCUCAGCUCCA
rnacentral:tRNA from 1 species